rnacentral:tRNA from 2 species
GCGAAGGUGGCGAAAUUGGUAGACGCGCUAGCUUCAGGUGUUAGUGUUCUUACGGACGUGGGGGUUCAAGUCCCCCCCCUCGCACCA